AUUGAACGCUGGCGGCAUGCCUUACACAUGCAAGUCGAGCGGCAGCACGGGGCAACCUGGUGGCGAGUGGCGAACGGGUGAGUAAUGCAUCGGAACGUACCUUUCAGUGGGGGAUAACGUAGCGAAAGUUACGCUAAUACCGCAUAUUCUGUGAGCAGGAAAGCAGGGGAUCGCAAGACCUUGCGCCGAUUGAGCGGCCGAUGUCAGAUUAGCUAGUUGGUGAGGUAAAGGCUCACCAAGGCGACGAUCUGUAGCGGGUCUGAGAGGAUGAUCCGCCACACUGGAACUGAGACACGGUCCAGACUCCUACGGGAGGCAGCAGUGGGGAAUUUUGGACAAUGGGGGCAACCCUGAUCCAGCCAUGCCGCGUGAGUGAAGAAGGCCUUCGGGUUGUAAAGCUCUUUCGGCCGGGAAGAAAUCGCACGGGCUAAUACCCUGUGUGGAUGACGGUACCGGAAUAAGAAGCACCGGCUAACUACGUGCCAGCCGCCGCCGUAAAAC
rnacentral:rRNA from 1 species